rnacentral:rRNA from 1 species
AUUGAACGCUGGCGGCAGGCUUAACACAUGCAAGUCGAACGAGUGGCGGACGGGUGAGUAAUGCCUGGGAAACUGCCUGAUGGAGGGGGAUAACGACGGGAAACUGUCGCUAAUACCGCGUACCAUAGGAUGAGCCCAAGUGGGAUUAGGUUGUUGGUGGGGUAACGGCUAACCAAGCCGACGAUCCCUAGCUGGUCUGAGAGGAUGACCAGCCACACCGGAACUGAGACACGGUCCGGACUCCUACGGGAGGCAGCAGUGGGGAAUAUUGCGCAAUGGGCGCAACCCUGAUGCAGCCAUGCCGCGUGUAUGAAGAAGGCCUUCGGGUUGUAAAGUUCUUUCAGUGGGGAGGCGUUACUCGCAGAAGAAGCACCGGCUAACUCCGUGCCAGCAGCCGCGGUAAUAC